AAGGACUACCUGUAGUACCAUUCUAGCCCAUAUUUAUCUUCUGCAAAUAUCACAAGAGAUCUUGCCAUAUGCCUUAUUAGGAACAAAAUACAUUUUAAAGAAGGGUCUAGACCAGGGUGUCCAAACUUUCUGCAAGGAGGGCCAGAUUUGGUGCGGUGAAAAUGUGUGGGGGCCGGCCAUUUAGCCUGACAUUCUUUGAACCAUUAACAUUAAAUGCAAAUGAAAGCUUAUGAAAGAUUAAACAAACAACUACGGUAUUGUGAAGGGUGAUACUGAGAUCUCGACUGCAUUAUAUAGGCCAGGUUUGGCUCAAAAACAGUGGUUUUGAUGCACAAGAUGUCACGCAGGUGAAAGUCACUUAGUCUUGUCCUCACACGGUUCUUGUUAAUGUUCAUAACCGAGAAUGUCUUCUUGCACAAGUAUGUCGAACCAAACAAGCUCAGCAUUUUCUUAGCAAAUGUUCGAAAAUCUUGGAACCUGUCUUUAUUCAGCUGGCGGUAAAAGUUGACAAGAGGGAGCUGUUGGUGUCGACUGCAACGCUUGGCGUCACACUGCAGCUCAAUGAGCUCCAGCUGCAGGUGGUCUGGAGUGUCAUCAGGGUCCACAGAGAAAGGAGAGAUCAUCAUUCUGCCUAUGAUUUCAAAAUAUAGAUGAACAUAAAGAAAAGAACCUUCCAAAUCUUAUGGCAGAGCUGUUAGACAAUGCACUACAGAGGAAUGUGCAAGAAAUGAGCAAUGAUAUAGACGAGGUGUACUGAAUUUAUACCAACUACGUGCGGAGGCAUAAGCUGCUGAGAGAGGUACACGUAAGAUUCGCAAGAAAGACCAUCAGAGACGAAAUCUACGGGAGAACAAGAGAAGAACCAUUAAUGUAUAAAGAAAGAAAUUGUGAUGCUAAAACAAGUCCCUAGGAGGGUAAGAGAACAAAGACGGAACCACAACUUUUUAUCAUCGCAGUUAAUUAAAAACAAAAUAAUGUUUAGAUGACUUAUCCCCGAAGGCAUGCUGAUCUCCUGGCAGGAGAAGAAAAUCUGUACAGAUUCACUGGACAAAACACAAGAAUUUCUUGAACACUACAUGGCACCAGAUGAAGAACAGGAUAGUAGAGAAGAGCAGAAGUCAGGAGGAACUAUCAGUGGAAGAAAAAGGAUCGGACCAAGAAGUAAGAGAACGACAGGAAAUCGAAUAUCAAGAAAUAGAGAGGAUAAAGACAUGGUCACAAAGAGAGAUAAGAACAAGGAGAGGAAAGAGAACUCAGUAUAAACAAUAACAUGCUAGAAGAAGUCACACUUCUAUCACUAUCAUAAAUGGACUAAAUGCUCCGAUAAAAAGAAAACAAGUAUUGACUAAGCUCCGGAAACAGAAUGCUGAUAUUACUUGUCUGCAAGAAGUUCACAUUGAGAAGAAGUAUGGCAACAUUUUAGAAUCACCUAAAUUGGGAAAAUUGCACCUUGCAUUGGCACAGAAAAAGAAAAGUGGGAUAGCGAUGUAUAUAAAGCAAUGGUUAAACCUGAUUCAAAUAUUUGCAGAUGAGGAAGGAAGAACCCUAAUGGUAGAAGUACAAAUAAAUCAAAAGAAAGUAUUGUUAAUAGUAAUAUAUGCCCCGAACAUUAACCAAAAAGAAUACCACAGUAAAUUGCAUUGAAAAAUAGUAGAAUUAAAACAGGAAAAUAUAUGCAUUAUAGGGGACUUUAAUGCAAGCAGUAGAUAUACGAAAAGAUUAUACAA